GAUGAACGCUGGCGGCGUGCCUAAUACAUGCCAGUCGAGCGAACAGAUGAGGAGCUUGCUCCUCUGACGUUAGCGGCGGACGGGUGAGUAACACGUGGAUAACCUACCUAUAAGACUGGGAUAACUUCGGGAAACCGGAGCUAAUACCGGAUAAUAUAUUGAACCGCAUGGUUCAAUAGUGAAAGACGGUUUUGCUGUCACUUAUAGAUGGAUCCGCGCCGCAUUAGCUAGUUGGUAAGGUAACGGCUUACCAAGGCGACGAUGCGUAGCCGACCUGAGAGGGUGAUCGGCCACACUGGAACUGAGACACGGUCCAGACUCCUACGGGAGGCAGCAGUAGGGAAUCUUCCGCAAUGGGCGAAAGCCUGACGGAGCAACGCCGCGUGAGUGGUGAAGGUCUUCGGAUCGUAAAACUCUGUUAUUAGGGAAGAACAAAUGUGUAAGUAACUAUGCACGUCUUGACGGUACCUAAGCAGAAAGCCACGGCUAACUACGU
rnacentral:rRNA from 1 species